UGGGGAAUAUUGGACAAUGGGCGCAAGCCUGAUCCAGCCAUGCCGCGUGAGUGAUGAAGGCCCUAGGGUUGUAAAGCUCUUUCACCGGUGAAGAUAAUGACGGUAACCGGAGAAGAAGCCCCGGCUAACUUCGUGCCAGCAGCCGCGGUAAUACGAAGGGGGCUAGCGUUGUUCGGAUUUACUGGGCGUAAAGCGCACGUAGGCGGACUUUUAAGUCAGGGGUGAAAUCCCGGGGCUCAACCCCGGAACUGCCUUUGAUACUGGAAGGCUUGAGUAUGGUAGAGGUGAGUGGAAUUCCGAGUGUAGAGGUGAAAUUCGGAGAUAUUCGGAGGAACACCAGUGGCGAAGGCGGCUCACUGGACCAUUACUGACGCUGAGGUGCGAAAGCGUGGGGAGCAAACAGG
rnacentral:rRNA from 1 species